CCCCUAGAUGUCCUGGGCCGCACGCGCGCUACAAUGACUCACUCAGAAAGUUUUUCCUGAUCCGGAAGGAUUCGGGUAAUCUUCAUAGCAUGAGUCGUGUUAGGGAUCGAUCUUUGCAAUUAUAGAUCUUGAACGAGGAAUGCCUAGUAAGUGCAGCUCAUCAGGCUGUACUGAUUACGUCCCUGCCCUUUGUACACACCGCCCGUCGCUCCUACCGAUUGAGUGGUCCGGUGAACCUUCUGGAUUAAGCAGCAAUGCUUGAGAAGUUAGGUAAACCUUAUCACUUAGAGGAAGGAGAAGUCGUAACA
rnacentral:rRNA from 1 species